CUUCUCAGUUUGGGCCUCAUAUUUCUCCUAUAUACUAUGUUCGUAUGGUGGCGCGAUGUUCUACGUGAAUCCACGUUGGAAGGACAUCAUACCAAAGUCGUACAAUUAGGACCUCGAUAUGGUUUUAUUCUGUUUAUCGUAUCGGAGGUUAUGUUCCUUUUUGCUCUUUUUUGUCUUUGUUUAUGUAACUUCCAUCUUAUACCGAAGUACUGAUACAAGCUCAGUCCCAAAACCUUAUUUGGCCUUUGAGUCCUUCUCGUGCCCCGAGCCCCCAGGGGAAAAGGCAUAAGCGGCUUUUCCGUAAGGGGGAUACAAGAGUAGGCCAAAAAGCGUUAAGCGGAGAAGGGAGAAGCUUCGUAAAGUAAAGCGGAGCUCCUAGCUGGCCCUAUCUUGCACGUUCCACUAAUAGAGUAAGGGUCGACCUUCUUCCGGAAAAAGAGGGCUUGCUCGCCCCCGUCUUUCCUUUCGUCUUUUGCGCAAACCAAACACCCCACAUUCACACGAGCCCAUAUCCUUGCUUUUCUAUCAAUCUCUAAUUCUGAUCUUCCUCCCCAAUCUGAUAUUAUGGUGCCGGUAUACACCGAAAUUCCGUUAUGGUCCAAUUCUGACCGGUAAUAAAUACCGGGGCUUAGUAUAGGAAAAAGCUUCUCUUUGAUAGCGGGAGUUCAGAAAGGAUCUGAUCGUAGAUAAAAACAGACGAAGAAAGAGACGCAUCGGAAUCAACAGCCGAAGAUGUCGAAUCUUAUCUUAAGAAGAUGACUUGACUUGACUAAAAGGCAAGGCAGCAAGAGCAGACGCUCAGGCAACAAAACCAAGGGUGGUUGGGCAUGAAGGGGUAGAAGUAGGAAAUUCCAAUCCAAAGGCUCGCUCGCUAGGGUAAUUGGCUUGGCCCCUAUGCCUUUGAUGUCGACGAUGCUUUUGCCGCCUUCCGAAUUAUACUUCUCUCUUCCUUGGCUUUCCACCGCUCUUUGGGUGGGACUGUCUUCACGAGCUCUAGCUUUCUUCUGAAGAGCUUUCAUCUCCUCAGACAUGGCAUCCUUCCUACAAGUCUUUCUCUCGCUAUCCAGCUAUUCGGAUGAGACGAGACGUUACACUGACAAACAAAAGUGAAUCAAUUUCACAGAAUAAGGAGUCCGCCGAAGCGUUGCUAGGAGAUAGCCGAUUCUGCCCCACCCACUUCUGAUAAACGAAUCUAAGUGAGUAUGAGUAGUGGACCAAAUGGAACCAUGUGCGGUCAGACUGCUAGUUGAGGAAGGAUUCAAGGGUGGUGAGAACGACCAUUGCCUCUUUGCUCUCUUCUUAUAUUCUUCUUUUAUCCUUCGUAUCCUUUACGGAAGAGUUCCCAGAAACUUCAUGCUCCAAGUCUUGCAGUCGCCGAGGACGUACGCUGAACCAGAUUCCAUCGGUGCCUUAACGUUGGGUAAUUGCGCAUUCGUUGUGGCAUCGGUGAACUCGAGUUGCCAGUUCGGUUUACUGACGUCUUCCUUCCCCGUUUCCAAAGAGAAGGCAGCUUUCCUAAGGUUUCCCCCGGGUGAAUUCGGUGUCUGGGCAGCCCCUUCGGAUUCAAGGCAGAUGUUAUUUUGCCAUUUUUUAUAUUACGCCAGGUGGAGUCCCUUUGACACCCAGCCUAACUUCUCUAUUUCAAGCUCAGGGGAGAGAGUGAGUGCCCGAGGGCUUCCUGCUUUUCUCUCGCAUUCCAGCCUUCGUGUUCUAAGGAAUAGUCACAAACGGCUCGAACUAAAGGGUCCAUGGAGCAGACUACUAAUACUGGUAGAAAGAAGCUAUAACAAGAACAAGGAGAUUCUUUAUCAAAGAACUAGCAGAAGAUCGUACUCGCAGCUGACAGAGGAAACUGAAACACCUUAUAGCUUACAUGUCCCCGUAACUGAAAGAGUUGCAACCUCUCUUGUUGCCCUACUCGCUGGCUAUGACUGACUCCCUUGCUUUGCUCUCUCAUGACAGGCCUUCCUCGAUUACCUUCUCGGCCCUACCCUUGAAGAGGUAGGCGAUAGAAGGUCAGUAGGGGAUCUGGAAGACCCUUAUGGGUUAGGGGAUCAGUUAGCAGUAGGAGAGAGCUUACUGAACGGCUUUGAAGCAUAUAACGGCUGGCAGGCAUAUAAAGGCUCUUGGAGUGCGCUUUCGGACUUGGCCGAGAAUGAGAGCUUUUGAGUGGACAUAGUAGUCCUUGCCCCGGAAGCCCAGGAGUUGCAUUCUUUAAUCGCCCGACCCUCCGAGGAGGGGUUAGUCGCCAGCCCCGAGUGCCUUUGAUCCUUGGAAUUUCCUUUUGGUGNNNNNNNNNNNNNNNNNNNNNNNNNNNNNNNNNNNNNNNNNNNNNNNNNNNNNNNNNNNNNNNNNNNNNNNNNNNNNNNNNNNNNNNNNNNNNNNNNNNNAUGACUCCCUUGUAUUAGCUAAGAUCGUCCUUUGACAGGCUUUUAUCAGUUGAUCCAGUAGUUCUAAAUAUAGAAAAAAGAAUCCCGAAUGAACAACCAUCCACAAAUGUCGAUUCAUUCAAGCAAGAAAGUGCAAGAUGCCCCUAAUAGAUGUUUCAAUUCCAGUUCCUGGGAAAGAGGGUAGAUAGCGCCAGCCAUUCCAGUGGCCUUAUAAGGCUAUUUAGGUUCUAAGAGGGUAAUUAGGUUCUAAGAGUCUUUGGAGUACUAAUCUUUCUGUUUUUUAAGUAAGAUCUCACAAGGAAAUCUUACUUAAAAAACAGAAAGAUUAGGCCCCCUCUUGCAAGAACGGACUAACAGGGUUAGCUACCCAGCCAACUUUCAUAAUUAAAUACCGUUACUGUAUAGGUAGAUCUCAUCGUGACGUAAUAAUAUCUCGGGGUUUGCAGCGAUAACUUGCUAUAUCUACUAUACGACCAUUGACUAAAAUAUGUCUGUGGUUAACUAAUUGUGAGAAAGACAGGUUCGGAAAUGGCCGGAUUAGCAGGAGGAAGGGCGGCCCCACCCUGAAACAUCCAAUUUUUCCAUUUUUUUGAUUCCUUGGAAUUUGUUUUUCCGGUUCCUGGUGGUAUCAAGACGCAGAAAGGAGAACCCCCAUUCCAUGCUCUAAGCUGAUAGUCGAGUGGCUUUACGCUCGGAAGCAUGAACCAACAACCAAUCCAACCGAUAAUAGAUAUAACCGUUAUUUUCUUGUUUUUCCACUUCCUCAUGAAUUUAUCUUGAAUCGGGAUCUUUUGGCUCAACUUUAUCCCAGUUUUGCUGAGGGAGCAACCCCCUUUUUCACCUUGAAAACACCAACUCCAUUUGUAAUUCCAUCAAUUACUUGUCUAUCAAAAAAAGAAGUCAAUUCGGCCAAUCCUCUUAUCCCCCCAGUAAAGAAUUCUUUUCACAUGCAAUCCUCGAUGAGAUGAUUCAAUUAGGCCCGCUUUUGAUCCUGAAUGAAUGGACGCAGGUGAGGAAGAGCAGGUGUGGAAGUCGAGUCUAGUAUUGUUUUCGUAGGCGAGUAAGAAGCAAGCGAGAGCGCAGGCUCUAUGAGACAGGAACUGUUCGGGAUAUUUUAAAGAAGGCGGAGGUUUUUAAGUAACUUUGCAGCAGCGCUCGGAGCCCUGAGACAGGCUAGUAGUUAAUGAUUAAUACAGAACGAAAGCAUGAUACUCACUCAUGAGCCAACCGAUAAAAAUAAAACGACGUUUUUUUAAAUUUAUUUAAAGAAACUAGGUAAGUCAAAUACUACUAAAUAAAAAAAGGAGCGCUCAGUGCCGCUAUUGGUGCGAGUUGUAAGGAGUCUUGGUCUCGAGUCAAGCUGGGGCGUCAUUUCAUUCUCGUCGUAACCGCCCCUUGAUUGGGCGUAUGUAAAUGCCCGGUAGUAUGAGCUACUUCCUCUUAGAAUGAUCACUAGCAUUACCUAUUGAAGACUUUCUUUUCCCCUCUUACAUUCAAAAGGGUCUGAGGUUGAAUCAUAUCAUUUUUUUUUUUAAUCUAUUCUUUCAAUGCAAAGGGCGAAGAAAAAGUGCCAUUUGAGGGGGGAGGAAUGUUGCAAUUAGAACUGAUAAUAUAGUGAGACCAGCGAGUAGGAUAAGGGAAAAAGGGGAUCAACAAGCAGGAAUGGGCCCCCUAUAGGUGAUUUCCAUAGGGCCCUCUUAUCUCUUCCUUCUCCGAGCUCGGGUUAUGGAAGAAGUGUAAUAUGUGUUUAUGUAGCUAUUGGUCAAAAAGGCGCUUCUCUUUGCCCCUUAAGUAGAAGGACAAGAAAGAUAUUAUUGGUUUUCUUGCUCCCGCUUCCUCAUCUGCGCUCAUCAAGCCAACUUUGCUCUUUGGGAGGUGAAAGAGCGGUUGAAGCGGACAUUGAACACCGCGAUAUUACCCCUUUUGGGGUUAAUGCGCUCAAUGGUGAAUCGAGCAUUCGAUUUCCUUUUACGAUUACGAGAACGACGGAAUAGAAGAAAAGUAAGAAAGCCUGCGAUGGCUACUGAAUAACCUCCUUUUCUUUUCUUUUCGUUGACUGCUGAGCCGUAUGAGGUAGGAAACUCUCAAGUACGGUUCUAAGGGAAGGAAUUGACUCGCCUAUUCCGACCGGGGAGAACAGGCCAUUCGACAGGGAGAUUCUGAAAUAGCGGAGGCUUGGUUCGAUCAAGCCGCUGAGUAUUGGAAACAAGCUAUGGCGCUUACUCCUGGUAAUUCUAUUGAAGCGCAUAAUUGGUUGAGGAUCACGAGGCGUUUCGAAUAAAAGAAGACACCAUUUUUUAUUAUUUAGUUAUUUAGGAUUUAUAUAUUUUUUUAUUUCUUAUAAUUAAUUGUUUCUUGGCCCCAUCAGUCAAAUAACAAAUAAAAGGGAUCAUUUCAAGACAUCCUAGCCCUCGAGGCUCCGUCCGGCCCGAGGAAACCUUUGCACGCCUCCGUUACCUUUUGGGAGGCCUACGCCCCAUAGAAACUGUCUACCUGAGACUUUCAGAUUUCUAUUUUCACAUGAAUUCCACUGAACUGCAUUUCAUAUGAUCCAGAGAUCGAUCUUUCCACAGGUCACUCUGCCAAGGUGAACUAUUUCGGUCUCCCCCU
rnacentral:lncRNA from 1 species